UACGAAGGGGCUAGCGUUGCUCGGAAUUACUGGGUCGUAAAGGCGCGUAGGUCGGCCUUCUAAGUCAGACGUUGAAAUCCCUCGGCUCAACCGAGGAACUGCGUCUGAUACUGGAAGGCUUGAAUCCGGGAGAGGGAUUGUGGAAUUCCAGGUGUAGCGGUGAAAUGACGUAGAUAUCUGGAGAACACCGGUGGCGAAGGCGGCAUCCUGGGACCGGUAUUGAACUGCAUGAGGCGCGAAAGCUAGGGGAG
rnacentral:rRNA from 1 species